GAUGAACGCUGGCGGCGUGCCUAAUACAUGCAAGUCGAGCGAACGGACGAGAAGCUUGCUUUUCUGAUGUUAGCGGCGGACGGGUGAGUAACACGUGGAUAACCUACCUAUAAGACUGGGAUAACUUCGGGAAACCGGAGCUAAUACCGGAUAAUAUUUUGAACCGCAUGGUUCAAAAGUGAAAGACGGUCUUGCUGUCACUUAUAGAUGGAUCCGCGCUGCAUUAGCUAGUUGGUAAGGUAACGGCUUACCAAGGCAACGAUGCAUAGCCGACCUGAGAGGGUGAUCGGCCACACUGGAACUGAGACACGGUCCAGACUCCUACGGGAGGCAGCAGUAGGGAAUCUUCCGCAAUGGGCGAAAGCCUGACGGGGCAACGCCGCGUGAGUGAUGAAGGUCUUCGGAUCGUAAAACUCUGUUAUUAGGGAAGAACAUAUGUGUAAGUAACUGUGAACAUCUUGACGGUACCUAAUCAGAAAGCCACGGCUAACUACGUG
rnacentral:rRNA from 1 species